UGGAAUAUCGAUUGAUACAUUCAUGAUAGAUCUCCAGAGUACAUAUAUUACAUGUCCACAGCAAACCAAGAACCAAUGCUGGUUCUAGUACACUAAGGAAAACAGCAUAAAAACCUUGAAUACAUAUCCUGACCACUUCUAGUACAAUACCUGAAUAUUGAUUGAUACAUUCAUGAUAAAUCUCAAAAGCAUUUAUUGAAUUACAUGAGAGCAAACCAAGAACCAGUGAUGGUCCUCUCAUCUUAGCUUCUACCCAUUGAUUUUACCUCUCAAGGAAGUCCAGGUAAUAGCCACAUGCACAUAAACCCAAUCAUACAGGCUGUCACAGAGCGAGUACCAAACAGCUCUCCAUCUCCUCUUGAACAAGAAGGUACAGAAGACCACCCAGAGACCCAUUACAAAUCCAGAGCUCAUGGCGAGGAGAAAGGAAACCAAGUCAUCGCUUGCAUCUCCAUGGUUUUCUCCUGGAAUUGGCUCAGGCUGCGGGCAAUUCCGCAAGAGAGGAGGGCCGCAGAGACCCGGGUUGCCAAUAUAAAUAGAUGCCUGGUCUUCAAGUGUUUGCAGCUGAUUUCCAGUUGGUAUCUUCCCUCCCAGAUUGUUGUAGGACAGGUUCAGGCGACUCAAUGAUGUGAGAGCCGAUAAGCUUGAAGGGAUUUCACCAGACAAAUCAUUGUGUGAUAGGUCAAGUGACUCCACUUGAAUUAAGGCGCCAAUAUUCUCAGGGAUUUUUCUACUGAAGUUGUUCCAUGAUAAGUUCAGGUUCUUCAAUGCUACAAGAGCGCCAAGUUCUGCAGGGAUCUCUCCGGUAAUACUGUUACAGGAUAAAUCAAGAUUCACCAUAUAUAUGAUUUCUCCUGUAUAUAGUCUCUCUUGACCUUUCGUGAGUAUCGUGAAAUUCUCAUCAUAGACAGAUACUAGUCCCUCACCAUCCGCUCUUUCAAAAGUUAACGCAUUCUGAAGAUUAUCAGAGUUGCCUCUUGUUUGUGUCAUGCCUGUGAAGUUACUAAUAGAUCUUGGUAUGCUCCCUGAUAUAUUGUUGUACGCAAGGUCCAAAUAUCGCAGAUUAACAAGCUUUGUAAGCUCAACUGGAAUGUGACCAUAAAACAUAUUGGAUCUCAGUCGUAAGAAUGACAAAGAUGAUAGCUUCUCCCCAAUCCAUGCUGGUAAAGUCCCAACGAAUUGAUUAUGUCCGAGAUCAAGAAAGAUGAGUUGUGGACAUUUCUGGAGAAGUGAAGGAAAUUCACCAGAGAGGUUGUUGUUUCUCAAGCUUAGAUUAACGAUGCCCAGAUCUGUCAUGUCUGUGAUGGACUUGUUGACUAGGCAAUCGGUAAUUGAUCCAUUGAGGUUAUUUCUUGAUAGAUCUAACAACCUCAAUUCUCGCAAUCUGCACAAUGAAGAUGGAAUGGCCCCAGAGAUCAUGUUGUUAUAUAGAACAAGUGUUCUAAGCCCUGGAGCUCCAAAGUCUAAUGGUAGUGGCCCAACAAGAUUGUUCCGACUGAGAUCCAGGUCGGUUAGAUUGAUGGGAAGCUUAGGUAUUGGACCACCAAGCUGGUUAGAACUGAAAUCCAUUACCUCUGCUCUCAUAAAUUCCAUUGUUGAUGGGAGCACUCCUGUAAUCUGAUUAUUUCGAAUAUUCAGAUAAUCUACUGAGGAAGUUGCUAUCCAAAACCAAUCUGGCACCAUGUCAUUUAUGCUUGUGUUUGAUAUGUCAAGACUCAUUACGGGUGUUUGCCAUCUAAGCCACAUUGGGAAUUUUGGCCCUAGCUGACAGGAUGGAAGGUCAAUCCAAUUUAGGCUGAAAGGAGGGACCCAAGUUGGACUCAGUGUGAUGGCAAUGGAGUUGUCUGACAAUAUCAAAUGCUCUAACAUAGCUAGACGUGAUAAAUGGCCUUCAUGCAUAACCCCGUCCAGGUUAUUAAAGCUAAGGUCCAACAUAGUUAGCUGUGUGAGCUCUCCUAUCCACACCGGGACAUGAAUUCCCACCAAGUUCCAGCCAGCUCAGGUUUCUCAAGGGCUCUACUAGUGUAGUCGGCAGGCUUCCAGUCAGAUUGCUGACAUAUAGAGACAACUCUUUUAGUUUAUUCUGUGAACAGCUGGGUAAUCGAUGGAAUAACUCUGCUAUACUCCCGUUGAUGUUGUUCAUAGAAAAAUCUAAUAUCUCCAAAUUACAUAGGUUCUGUAAGUUGGAUGGUAUCAUGCCCACUAGGUUAUUAUAUGAUAAAUCAAGCUCCACAAUCGAGGUCAUAUUACCUAUCUCGUCCGGAAAAGGGCCAUAGAAACCAUUGCUCGACAUGUCUAGUUUAUGAAGGUGGUUGCGUGAAAGGUCAAGUGUUUCAAGAGAUGUCAGGUUUGAGAGUGGAAGAGAAUCAGGGCUACUUCUAAGCUGGCAAUUGGCAAGACGGAGAACUUUAAGAGUUGGAAGCAUGUUCACAACCGGAAGCCAGUGGACAAUUGUACUGAGGUUCACCCCAGUCAUAUCCAGAUGCUCAAGAGAAGUUAACCACGACAACCAGGUGAUAUCAGUAGAGUGUGUGCCUCUAUGGAAAGAAGAAUCAACACUCCUGUAUGAGUAGGUCUCAAGAUUUAGGUACUGUAAGUUGGAGAGAUUACCCAGCUGUGGUGGUAUCCUUCCAAUGAAUCCUGACCACGAUAGGUCGAGAUAUCUCAGCUGAUGGAGAGAACCCAUGAACUCCGGUAUUUGUAUCUUGUCGAAGCUGUUCCAGCUGAGGUCGAGAUACCGAAGAUGAUGUAAACGAAGCAACGAGGAGCUUAUGUUGCCUGCUAGCGCCUGCCCGGUUCCGUCUUCAGUGCCUCGGAGAUCGAGCCUGACAACAUGGCCGGUUCUGUUGCUGCAGUAGACGCCCUUCCAUCGGCAGCAGGCAUCACUCUUCCAUGAUGGAAGGAGGUUGGCAGGGUCUGAUAGACCUGCCCUGAAGGCCAGAAGGGCAGACCUCUCACCGGCAACACAACUGGGGAUCGCAUCCUUUGGAUGCAGGGCAGAUGUGUCCUGUGUGGUGCUCUUGGCUUGAGUGAACAAGAGCAAGGCUAUGGCUAUUUGGAUGCAGGAGAGCUGAAGCAUGUCCAUGGGUGCUUUUGCCAUGAGUAUGUGUUCUUCUUGGUGUAGGAUACCCUGUGGUAUACAUACAUGAUAUAUAUGUAAUCAAACUCUUGGUGUCGUCUUUCCAAGAUAAAAGUCGCUGGUUGCUGUUUAAUUAAAGCAACCGGAGAGUGAAGUUGAGGGAGCAGACCAAUGAUGGCUUGCAGGCUUGUAUCCAUAUGCUCAUGGAGUUUCUCUCUUGUCCGUUUUGGGAUUUGAGGCAGCAGUGCACACCAAUCAGGGCCUGCAGGCUUGGGAUUUGAUUAAAGCAACUGGACAGUGAAGUUGUAUAUAAUUUAUCAGAGCAGUUUGUUCGUAAUGAAGAAAAAUAUGCACAAAGUUUUGGUUAGUAGCAAUCCUGAUUGUAAAUAUUCUAGGAAUUAUAUAAUGUGUAUGUACAACUGAUGGAUUCCAUUGGUCACUAACAAGUUAGCUCUGGUGUCGAUGUUUGUGUUAGCUCUGGUGGCACACUAACAAGGACUCUGGUGCUUGGAAUUCAAAGCCACUGGUCAGCAAUGUGAGCUGGGUGCAGUUUUUCCGAGGAUCAUGAAUCAGUUCGGAAUGGAACAAAAUAAGUAUAAAUGUUUUCAUUAUAAAUAAAUCCAAAGUGUAGAUAUGCCAUAAUAUUUGGGAUGUGUUCGUAUAUAAAGAGGAAACGAUGAAUCCCACUACAAAAGUCCAAAUUAAGUUUGAUCAGAAAGAAGUUCCAACCUUGGGGCGUCUGGCGAAGCCAAUCCCAUCCAUCUGUGUGGGUAAAUGAUGAAUCCCCAUCCAUCUUUGUAAAUUUAUUAUGUAACUCACCGAAAGCAAAGUUUGCAUCCGUUGUGAACUGGGAGAAAAAAUGAUUGGGUGUUCGCUCUGGCGAAGUAUCAUUUGCUCGAGCAGUUUGCGUGCGUGCGCAUGUGCGUCCACCGGAAACACGGCGAGAGAGUGAGGCUCCUGCUUGUCAACAAAGGAAUGGUGGAGGACGGAGAGGACCUUGUGACCUCGAGGGCGAUGGCGCCGGUGACGAUGUCGGAAGACGCCGUCGAGCGGGCUGGCGGCGACCCGCUGGACGAGCUCCCCCCGCGCGCGACGCCGACCCGCUCCAGCGCCACCAUCCUCCUUCGCCGCACCCCUACCGGGCUUGACCGCCGCCUUGGGUCCUCCGCCCCCACUACCCGCUGGCGCCGGUCGCCGGCGAUGUAGGAGUGGGCAGAGCCGGCGACCCAGUGACUCUUACAAGUGACCCACCGAAGGAAAUCAAGAUUUUUUAAUAAUCCCUCUACUCCAUAUUAAUUGAUGCACAAAGUUAGACUGAGGGCCUGUUUAGAUUGUGAUUAUCUUUGCCACAUUAUUUUUAUCACACUUGCUUAACUUGAGUUGCGCAAAUUUUUAACCAUACUUUCGUUUGCCUAAAAAAUUUCUUGCCUUACAUGUGUCAAGAAUCAAACACCCGGUCAAAUUUCUCUAAGGUAAGGUGUGACAAAGUGUGGCAAGGUGUGGUUAGAAACUAAAAAGACACUUUCAAUUAACAUGGAUUGGUGGAAGUACACCCUCCAUUUUUUAUAUACAACCACUAUUGAAAUUAUAAUUUGCAGCUAUAUAAGGCUACUAAUAUUGAUCGACGUAAAUAUUGAUGGAGUGAGAAGGUUGAUUUGCAUGCGUUGCAUUAAUCAACCAAUAAGGAGUGAGAGAGUUGUCUUGUUGUGUGUUGAAGAAAAAAAUACACAUUAAUUUACACGUCAAACUAGGAAGAAAGUUGGCCUCAACAUUGGUUUAAACCAGCAUUCAUUUUUUACCUUGGUACAUGUAAUAUAGGUUUAUUGCUUUGUAUACAAAAAUGAAGGGAGUACUAAUUUUAUGGAAUCCUCUAUUUUCAGUUAGCUUUAAUAAGUCAAAAGCUUUUUUUUACAGAAUUAAUCAAAAGCUUACAAAGAGCAAAUUAUAUGUGUACCACUGUCGAUUUACCUGUAUAUUCAAGAAAAAUGUGGGGGUACAUGUAUAUUCAAAUGGUACUGGAUUUUUGUUAUUCCAAAUAUGCCACUAAAAAUUUGCACACGAUACAAUUUGUCACUUUUGUGGCUCAUAUGAAGAAACAAAAAAAAAAUUACCCGAGGACCCAAUAUCUUGUUCCAUGCGUGUGCAGCAAAGAGGGAAAGCUCAAAACUCAGAAUACCAAUUGUUUUGAUCCUACUUCUUGUAUCUCUCGAGAACAGCACAAGACCUUCCUUCGUCUAGCCGAAGCUAGCCAGUCAGAUCCGUAUUACAACUUGGAGAAGAAGAAAGAGGCAUGCCCCUUUGAGGGUUCAAAUGAUUCACCGGAUGCCUCUCUGGACAGAAGUACAGCUACUUUAUAGCACACCACAUAACAGAACUCUCUUACAAGUGGGUCCCGCCUAGUAUGUGAUCCAUUCCUUCCCUGCGUACCGGCUGGACUUGGUAUAAGGCCUUAUCUGACCUGCGGGGUCCAGCAGAGACUGUGGAUUUAUUUAUUUUGUUUUUGCAAAUAGAGACUGUGUAUGUUGAACCAGCGCUGUUCUGUCCCUUAAGGAACUUGAGUUUCUUCAGGAACGGCGUCCGCUGUUGAUUGCUGCUGCUGCUGCUCUUUCGGCUUCAGCGUUGUGCCCCCAAGAUCGAAACUUGGCUCUGAUAAAGUAAUUUUCAGUUUUCAAAUUUGAAAUUCCCUUUUCUUUUCAUUGAGCCAAAGCUGUAUAUAUUUCAUUUCGUUUCUCUUUCACUCGUUUUGCUGCAUUUUGUCAAACUUCAUGCCGAGCUGAUUAUCUUUUCCUGCUUUCCUCAAGCAUCAUCGGGUCUGAAUUUCAAAACCGGAAACUACUAAUAUAUGGAGUGUUGUUCCGGAAGAGCAGGGGCAAAAGCGGAGCCGUUCUCAGCGAGCCAGCAUUGACCAUAGUUCCACCCCAAGCAGUCAUUUCACCUUUUGUUCACUGCUUGGUUCUGUUUCGCUGAUUACAUGCCUGCUUUUGGGGUUGACAUCGUUUGCUCCAGUUCUUCAAGCUGAUUCAAAAUGACUCAGCCAUGUCCAAAAAAAAAAACAAUCCUUAUAAGCAAGAAAAAAAAACAUGUUCCUUGUCAUAGAGCCAGAACAUGUUAAUGAGAAAGAUCGGUAACAUAAAUCCAAUCUCGUUUGCUACCUUGCCCGGUUUCAGCCAAUAUGCCACUGAAGGACACUAUCUCAUCUUCUAGAGCAGAUUUCUCAUAACACCCUUGUAUCAGAAGCAGAUGCAUCAUUAUCAACCAACAAAACUUCCAGAGCAUUUUUCAGGUUCUGCAUCAUUGUCAACCAGCAUAGUAAGGUAGCAGCAGCACAAUAUUGGACCGCACCUCCAAGUGCGGACCCUAACUCGCACAAUAUGCAGAAGUUUCUAGGACUGAACUAAAGAAACUAUUUCUAGGACUGAAUUAAAGAGGUUAACAAAGCAAAUAUCUACAAGAUACAGGCAUUAUCUGAACUCAUGUUUGCCUUUUACAUAUGCAAUAACAUGUGCACUUAUGCAAGUGAAGGAACCUGUGCUAAGAUAAGGAUACAUAACAGCACUUGGGUUGCAAAUAUGUUGCUUUAUUAUACAGUUCGACAGUUUGACAAUGGUCAGACUGAACCAAGCAGUCCAAGAGAGCUGAAGGUUUGAAGCAGUGGUCAAGAUAGCAGUCUAUGUCAUCUGUAAAUCGGAUACGGGGGCAUGACUAUAAAAAACAUCCAACGGUUAUAUGCAAAAACAGAGAUCACCUCUUUCCGUAGAGACCUCUAUUGCCAUAGCAAAAAAGGACUUCAAUUUUCUCUCCAUAGUACGGUCUGGGUUCUUCUCAACUAUUGCUCUUGCCAGGCCAGAACAAAAUCAGAAUCACCUUCAUUCUUGCCAUCACCGGUUUCAACCUCCUUAUCUUUGCCAUUUGAGUUUUGCCCGAGGUAUCAGUAUUUACCAUGGAAUUAUUAUAAAAUGAAAUGCACCAACAACAGAAAGCACAUAGAAAACACAUCAUAUAUAAAAAUUAAAAAACCUCAGUUGAUGGCAACCUAGAAUUCAUACAUGUGCAUGACUAGUUCCAAUACAGUGCACCUAGAAUGCAUACAUGUGCGUGACUUGUUCCAGUACAAUACACUGGAAUAUCAAUUGACACAUUCAUGAUAAAUCUCCAGAUUAUAUCAUAUUACAUAUCUAGAGCAAACCAAGGACCACCAGUGCUGGUUCUAGUACAAUAUGGAAAAUAGCAACCAAUCUCAGUCCAUGGUACGCACCUUGAAUACAUAUCCUGACUAGUUCUAGUACAAUAUAAUACCUGAACAUCGAUUGAUACAUUCAUGAUAAAUCUCAAAAGCAUUUAUUGAAUUACAUGAGAGCAAACCAAGAACCAGUGAUGGUCAUCUCAUCUCAGCUUCUACCCAUUGAUUUUACCUCUCAAGGAACUCCAGGUAAUAGCCACAUGCACAUAAACCCAAUCAUACAGGCUGUCACAGAG
rnacentral:lncRNA from 1 species